GACAGUUUGAUGCUGAUUGCCAUCUCAUUUCACCUCUUGUUGAAAGAAGCAUUUAUUUUGACGUUCGGCGGCGCAUAUUUCAAAUCGAACAAGAGAGAAUAUUGGUUGGUUGCGAGAUACAGAAGAAUAAGAAGAACAUACAGAAGAAGAAGAGAGAAUAUUUCCACAGCUCCAUGAGCUCUUUUCACGGUUGGCGAAAGCAUGAUAUUUGAAGUAAAUUUUAAGGUUUAGCAUCGGGUUUAGGUUUCCUGAACAACUUUUCCGAAAGUUGAGUUGCUGUACGUAUCAAAGGAUGACACAGAGACCUCUGGCUCUGAGCAAGACAGUGAGCCAGAGCUGCCAGGAGAUGUCAUCGAGCCCCUCCCAACUGCAUCAAGCACCAGAUGCUGUUCCAAAAGGACCCAAUGACAUUUCAAGAUCCAGAGAAGAAGGUCCUGUACAGCUGUGUUUGAAAUCAUUUCCCAGUACUCAGCUUGGUACUAGGAACAGGGCUUUCAACAGCUCCUGGUAUAAGGACAAUUCAUGGCUUGAAUAUUCUGUAAAUCAAGAUUUGACUUAUUGUUUCGCCUGUAGGCAUUUUUCUCUGCUCAAUACACCCGAAUCUGCCUUCACAUCACAGUCAGGUAUUUGUAACUGGAAAAAAGGCGCUGUUUAAAGAUUCUGGGUUUAGGCUCCAUUCGAAGGCAGAGCAUCAUAUAAAUGCUAUGUAUGCUUGGAAUCAGCAUAAAAGGGCUAUUGACAGCAACUCAUCAAUGUUAGAUGUCAUAAAUGAGGACCAGAAAAGAAAGUGGAGGAAAACUGUACUUACAUUAAAACUAUUGCAGAUGUGCUCCUAUUAACUACCACUCAAAAUAUAGCACAGAGUUCAUCGAGAGUCUGAUCACUCUCACAACAAGGGUCAUUUUUUGACAAUCUUAGAAGAAAUAGCAAAGCAUGACACUCAGAGAAAAGGAUGAAUGCAUGUGGCAAUGCUUAGUACACAAGCCACGAAAUCCAGAACAAAGUGAUUGAGGGCUUAGCUGAGAUGGUACAAAGUGAAAUAAUAAGAGUAGUAAAAGAAAGUGAAGUUUUUAGUGUAAUUGCAGAUGAAACCAGAGAUUUAAAGAAAAAAUAACAAAUGUCUUUAGUUGUGAUGUACUAUUACAAUGAGGCCAUCCACAUAAGCUUGUUACACUUUCAGUCAGCUGAAAGCUUAGAUGCAGCAGGUCUCGCAAAAAUGAUAAUUGAUUGGCUUGAAAAACAUGUUCUGGACUACAGAAAUAAUCUUGUGGGGCAAGGAUUUGACGGUGCAUCCGUCAUGAGCGGAAAGCAUUCUGGUGUGUCUGCAUGGAUUAAAAACAGUGCGUGAUUUGCAUUUUAUGUGCACUAUAAUGCACAUUGUUUGAAUUUGGCAUUUGUCGAUGCUGUAAAAUCAGUGCCUGAGGCAGUUAAAGCUUCUGCAGGAGAGCAAAAAAGUUAUAACUUUGUAUCUGGCUUCUACAUUCAUCUCAAGUGGCUUGCAGUUCAGAAAGAGCUGUAUCCACAGCAGCAGUCCAAGGAACUACAGAGACAUACGGAUGUAAGGUGGGCAUGCAGAUACAUGGUAUGCUGUAAUCUGAGGGACAGGCUUCCAGCAGUUCUGAGAGUGCUACAGGAUUUCACACUUGAAAAUAGUGGUGAUAGAUCAGUGGAGGCGGGGGGCCUUAUUUCUCAGAUAGAUUUACAUUUCAUAGGGCUUUUGGUUACCUUUUGUAAAGUGCUUGGUGAUGCCAAAUGUCUUUCUGACAUGCUCCAAUCAAGCUCUCUUGACCUAGCAAGAGCUGUGGAUCUAGUAGGUGCCCUUACAGACACAUUACAGGACUACAGAAGUGAGGGUUACUUUGGAGAACUAUGGAAAGAGGUUGAAGAGAUUUCAGAGCACUGCACAAUAAGUGUACAAACAGUGUGUAAAAGACAGCCUAAAACAAGCUUAAGAUUUCACUACUCAUUGACGAUGAGCACUGUAGGACAGAAAAUGAGUGAUCAAAGUGAUGGUGAGAGCUUCCAAAGAGCUGUCUUUUAUCAGGUGCUUGACAGUCUCACAGCUGAGCUGCAGAGGCGCUUUUCAAAGAAGAAUUGUGAGAUAAUGCAAGGGGUCCAGUCUCUCAACCCAAAGAGUACAACAUUCUUGAAUGAGGAGCCUCUGUUUGCCUUUGCUCAGACCUUUGAGUCAGAUUUAGAGGACCUCAAACAUGAGGUUCACCAAACCAAGUGGCUUCUUGAUAGGCUUUUUGAUAGGAGAGAGAAAAGUAGAAGGGACAGACCGUCUACUCUCCUUGAAAGAGGUCUUCCAUGAGCUAUUUCGACUUCGUAAGAUUUCUGCUGUUACACCAGUCAGCAGUGCUUCUUACGAGAGAAGCUUCUCAGCUUUAAAACUGAUUAAAACCCACCUCAAGACAACAAUGGUUGAUGACCACCCUAAAUCACCUCGGAAUUCUCAGUGUUGAGUCAAGGAGGGCACGCCCCCUCAACAUGGAUGAGGUUGUGAAACAUUGCCAGUUCUCAACAGAACCACAGAAUUAUGCUGUUUUAAAUCUACCUAGGAUAAUUUGGCACUUAGGCAGUUCUUCUGGUCAGGAUUUAUACCUGCACUGUGUACUAGCUAGUAUACUGACAUUCUAAAAUGAUAAAUCCAAGGGGUAUCAUGUCACACAGAUUUAAUUUGGUCUUGAUUAGGCCAAUUCCAAAAUGUUUCUUUGCUAUUAGUUAACAUAAUAUAUUUGAGCAUAAAUAUGAUACUGUAAGUUUGUAAUAUUGAUGGGCAAGUCCAUUUCUUGAUACCUGGUAUGUCAAAUU